GGAGGGCUGUCCGAGUGGCCGAAGGAGCUAGUCUUGAAAACUAGUAGGCGGAAACGUCUCGUGGGUUCGAAUCCCACGCUCUCCG
rnacentral:tRNA from 1 species